GGGGGUAUAGCUCAGCUGGAAGAGCGCUUGCAUGGCAUGCAAGAGGUCAGCGGUUCAAGCCCGCUUACCUCCA
rnacentral:tRNA from 1 species